GGGGAGAUAGCCAAGUGGCCAACGGCAACAGACUGUAAAUCUGUCCUCUUCGGAGUUCGAAGGUUCGAAUCCUUCUCUCCCCACCA
rnacentral:tRNA from 1 species